CCUACGGUGUGCAGCAGUGGGGAAUAUUGGACAAUGGGCGAAAGCCUGAUCCAGCCAUGCCGCGUGUGUGAAGAAGGCCUUCGGGUUUUAAAGCACUUUCAGUGGGGAAGAAAGCCUUGGGGCUAAUACCCUCGAGGAAGGACAUCACCCACAGAAGAAGCACCGGCUAACUCCGUGCCAGCAGCCGCGGUAAUACGGAGGGUGCGAGCGUUAAUCGGAAUUACUGGGCGUAAAGCGCGCGUAGGCGGUCUGAUAAGCCGGUUGUGAAAGCCCCGGGCUCAACCUGGGAACGGCAUCCGGAACUGUCAGGCUAGAGUGCAGGAGAGGAAGGUAGAAUUCCCGGUGUAGCGGUGAAAUGCGUAGAGAUCGGGAGGAAUACCAGUGGCGAAGGCGGCCUUCUGGACUGACACUGACGCUGAGGUGCGAAAGCGUGGGUAGCAAACAGGAUUAGAUACCCUAGUAGUC
rnacentral:rRNA from 1 species